rnacentral:rRNA from 1 species
GCUAAACGCGAAGAACCUUACCUACUCUUGACAUCCAGAGAACUUAGCAGAGAUGCUUUGGUGCCUUCGGGAACUCUGAGACAGGUGCUGCAUGGCUGUCGUCAGCUCGUGUUGUGAAAUGUUGGGUUAAGUCCCGCAACGAGCGCAACCCUUAUCCUUUGUUGCCAGCGGUCCGGCCGGGAACUCAAAAGGAGACUGCCAGUGAUAAACUGGAGGAAGGUGGGGAUGACGUCAAGUCAUCAUGGCCCUUACGAGUAGGGCUACACACGUGCUACAAUGGCGCAUACAAAGAGAAGCGACCUCGCGAGAGCAAGCGGACCUCAUAAAGUGCGUCGUAGUCCGGAUUGGAGUCUGCAACUCGACUCCAUGAAGUCGGAAUCGCUAGUAAUCGUAGAUCAGAAUGCUACGGUGAAUACGUUCCCGGGUCUUGUACACACC